AUUAAAGUCAGGCUUAACAUCUUUCAAGACCUAUGGCAAGACGAAAUCCGUUUAGUUUGGUAGACAAACGCCUCGAGACAACCAAACGACCAAUUUACACAACACUUCGCAAGCGAUAUUUUCGCCUGUAUUCCAAUAAUAAUUGUCUAAUAUGGCUUCAAAACAAUAUUAAUAACGCUUUGUUUCCAAUAAAACUUGAUUAGAGGAUUUUGAAAA